AUUAUUCCUUGUUGUUCCUUACAAUUGCAGGUUAUCCUAUGGCUCAAAAUCCACACAAUUUCAGUUGCACACAUCUGACUUUGUAUCCUGGUUUUAAUGGCUUCUACUUCUACACUGACAUUAACUCUAUGGGAGGUCACACGAUUAUGCAACUCAUGGUGUACUCUGUGUAAAUGCAUUUCUCCACACAGCCUACAAAACAACAUAUGAGCUUCCAUUAAAGCUGCAAAGGCUUUGAACAUAGACUCUUGUUGUCAUGGUGAUGCCGGAACAUUGCUGGAGGUGGAAACAGUUCUAAGGGAGACUGUGAAAUAUUACUGAAAUGGACUCUAUACCGUCAACCAAGGUGCGGAAACUCCUUGGUAUGCUUUCCAGUACCUACUUUAAUACCCGCGGUGCAUUUUUAGCGGAGAUAUUGCUGAAUGGUGCCAAAAAUCCUGGGGCUUUUUGCUUUUAACACUAGAGAUACCAGGCUCAUACUGUUUUGGUUAUGGAGUGCAUAUGGCUUUUAACUUUGGAGUGUGCCCUCGGAGGCCGGUGCCUGAUAACCAACAUUAAGAUCUGUUGGAGCAAGCAGCAAGCUAAAGUUACCAGAUACCAGCUCCAAUUUUCAUGUCCAGAAUUCGUGACACCAAGAUUGUUUGGUGUAUUUUCAAGACAGGAAAUCGUAUAUUAAAGAGUACCAUCUUUAAGACUGGCUGCAGCUUUCCAUGAUUUGCCAGUGAUGCAGCUUUCUCUUUGUGCAUGCACGCUCUUUGUACCAAGUCUCACUGCUUCUUGAUUCUCUGCUGGAAUAUCAGACCUGUUAAGGCUCACUGUUGACACCAGGGGACGCUUCACGAUUCCAUUGGUAAAAUAAGUACCUGGUAUCUACUGUAAUAAAAGCAGUAAAUUCAGGAAACACUCAGCAGUUGGUGUAUGUACCCCCUGGGUAACCUGGAGUGGCUUGCAUGACUGGGGAGGUGCAGUCUGAGGAUCUUUGGUGAAUUUCUACAAUGCAUCUUGUAGAUAGUACACAUUGCUGCUACUGAGUGUCAGUGCUAGAGGGAGUGGAUGAUUGCGGAUGUACUGCCAAUCAAGCAGGUUGCUUUGUCCCGGAUGGUGUCAAGCUUCUUGAAUGCUGUUGGAGCUGCACCCAUCCAACCAAGUGGGGUGUAUUCCAUCACACUCCUGACCUGUGCCUUUUGGAUGAUGGACAAGCUUUGGGGAAUUAGGAGGUGAUCCGAGCUGUGCUGCUGGGCCAGAUUGAAUCUUUGGAAAAGGAAUAGCUGUCAGGUUUCCUUCUUAUCCCUCCCAGCUGCAUUCUUUCAGAAUGUUCACCGACUCUCAGCCAAUCAAUCUUCCACGUCAAGAUGACAGUGCCCAAUAAGCUCUCAGUAUCGUGUAUGGAAGAUGCUGGAUUACCUUUGCUAUUCAUCCUCCAAAGUGUCAAGGGUACAACCAUUUUCACAUAUGGCCAUGGCUGGAACCUGGGAUACCAGCAAGUUUGCUUACCAUACUCCAAUACAUACAAAAUCAUUCUCAUUUACCAGGUCAAGUCCAGACUUGUUUGCCUGACUUUGUCUUGUGUGGAUAAUUUGUAUUGAUAUAUCCUGAAAGUCUCAUUGGGCCUGGCAGCUCAAAGGUUGCCCAUUCUGGUUUCAGGCCUAGCUGUUCAGGUCCUGUGCUACUUGAUAAAACAUGAAAAUGAUAGGGUGCUGAUGAAUAGGAAUGAAUAAUUCUUAUUUCUUCAUUCUAUAAAGAAUAAAUCACAGAUUUUAUGUUGAACCACCUAUUUAAUAAUCAAUGCAGUUACAAAGGGCUAAAUAUUCCACUAUAAUUGUGAAGAUUCCCGUUUUAAAACUCAGCUACAGGCGACAAAGAGAAAACAAAAAUGUAUCUAAUUGAAUUUUCAUAUGACAAAAAUCACUUACCAAAUAAAUGUUUUGAAUUGA